rnacentral:rRNA from 1 species
AAUAGAUACCCAGGUAGUCCACGCCGUAAACGGUGGGCACUAGGUGUGGGCGACAUUCCACGUCGUCCGUGCCGCAGCUAACGCAUUAAGUGCCCCGCCUGGGGAGUACGGCCGCAAGGCUAAAACUCAAAGGAAUUGACGGGGGGCCCGCACAAGCGGCGGAGCAUGUGGCUUAAUUCGACGCAACGCGAAGAACCUUACCAAGGCUUGACAUACACCGGAAACGUCCAGAGAUGGGCGCCCCCUUGUGGUCGGUGUACAGGUGGUGCAUGGCUGUCGUCAGCUCGUGUCGUGAGAUGUUGGGUUAAGUCCCGCAACGAGCGCAACCCUUGUCCCGUGUUGCCAGCAGGCCCUUGUGGUGCUGGGGACUCACGGGAGACCGCCGGGGUCAACUCGGAGGAAGGUGGGGACGACGGUCAAGUCAUCAUGCCCCUUAUGUCUUGGGCUGCACACGUGCUACAAUGGCCGGUACAAUGAGCUGCGAUACCGCGAGGUGGAGCGAAUCUCAAAAAGCCGGUCUCAGUUCGGAUUGGGGUCUG